AGUGAACGCUGGCGGUAGGCCUAACACAUGCAGUCGAACGGCAGCACAGUAAGAGCUUGCUCUUACGGGUGGCGAGUGGCGGACGGGUGAGGAAUACAUCGGAAUCUACUUUUUCGUGGGGGAUAACGUAGGGAAACUUACGCUACUACCGCAUACGACCUACGGGUGAAAGCAGGGGAUCUUCGGACCUUGCGCGAUUGAAUGAGCCGAUGUCGGAUUAGCUAGUUGGCGGGGUAAAGGCCCACCAAGGCGACGAUCCGUAGCUGGUCUGAGAGGAUGAUCAGCCACACUGGAACUGAGACACGGUCCAGACUCCUACGGGAGGCAGCAGUGGGGAAUAUUGGACAAUGGGCGCAAGCCUGAUCCAGCCAUACCGCGUGGGUGAAGAAGGCCUUCGGGUUGUAAAGCCCUUUUGUUGGGAAAGAAAAGCAGCAGGUUAAUACCCCGCUGUUCUGACGGUACCCAAAGAAUAAGCACCGGCUAACUUCGUG
rnacentral:rRNA from 1 species